rnacentral:rRNA from 1 species
GAUUUCUGGCUUGAAACAUUUUGCCGGCCACGGUUUCGUGUGUUAGUGCUUUGUGUUCUGGCCAUCCUUCCAAUCGCUAUUCAGCUUUCUUCAUUGAUUGUUGAGUGGUAUUGGAUCUUUUACUUUGAAAAAAUUAGAGUGUUUCAAGCAGGCUUUAUGCUAUGAAUACAUUAGCAUGGAAUAAUAAUUUAGGACUUCGGUUCUAUUUUGUUGGUUUCUAGGACUGAAGUAAUGAUUGAUAGGGAUAGUUGGGGGUGCUAGUAUUCAGCGGCCAGAGGUGAAAUUCUCGGAUUCGCUGAAGACUAACUUAUGCGAAAGCAUU